ACACUGGUCCUGCCGAAGAUGCGGCCCCGCGCCGCAUACCGGGGGACCCACUUCUUCAGGGGUGAAGCCGGCGUACGCCGGCAGGGAGCUCUCCGCCCCAACCCGUCAGCUAACCCCGGAGGCAAUUUGGAGAGAGGGG
rnacentral:sRNA from 1 species